AGCCGAUAAUUGAUAUAUAGCGAUUUAAAAAUAUUGUAUCUAGCGUACACGGAAAAAUGAAGGGGAGAAAAAUGCCGGGGGGAUUUGUGAAGCAAUCCGAAUGCCGGUAGUCCUGGCCUCCAGGCCUUCGCUUCUCCAAAUGGGUUCGCUUUCUGGGUCUUUCUUCGAUUCCUCAAUCCUCCUUUACUCAUAUCUCUCCUUAGCAGUAGCUAACGGAAGAAGAGUAAACCCUAAAUCUUAUCUCGGACGAAUGGCGAACAGCAAUCUACCUCAAAGAAUUAUCAAGGUACUCCUUUUUGCCCCUUCCGAUUCCCUUUCCCAUCUUUCUCGUACGUCCUUAUCCCCGGAUUUCGAAGAUCUUGUGUGGAAGAUCGCCGCCCAGGCGAUAUUCUGAUCUUUUUUCUAGGGAAACGCAGCGGCUGCUUAGUGAACCAGCUCCUGGGAUCAGUGCGUCUCCCUCGGAAGAUAACAUUGCACUACUUCAAUGUUAUGAUCCUUGGUCCGACACAGUCUCCCUAUGAAGGAGGUGUUUUUAAGCUUGAAUUGUUCUUGCCUGAAGAGUACCCGAUGGCUGCUCCCAAGGU